rnacentral:rRNA from 1 species
ACGGGAGGCAGCAGUAGGGAAUCUUCCGCAAUGGACGAAAGUCUGACGGAGCAACGCCGCGUGAGUGAUGAAGGCUUUCGGGUCGUAAAACUCUGUUGUUAGGGAAGAACAAGUGCUAGUUGAAUAAGCUGGCACCUUGACGGUACCUAACCAGAAAGCCACGGCUAACUACGUGCCAGCAGCCGCGGUAAUACGUAGGUGGCAAGCGUUAUCCGGAAUUAUUGGGCGUAAAGCGCGCGCAGGUGGUUUCUUAAGUCUGAUGUGAAAGCCCACGGCUCAACCGUGGAGGGUCAUUGGAAACUGGGAGACUUGAGUGCAGAAGAGGAAAGUGGAAUUCCAUGUGUAGCGGUGAAAUGCGUAGAGAUAUGGAGGAACACCAGUGGCGAAGGCGACUUUCUGGUCUGUAACUGACACUGAGGCGCGAAAGCGUGGGGAGCAAACAGGAUUAGAUACCCUGGUAGUCCACGCCGUAAACGAUGAGUGCUAAGUGUUAGAGGGUUUCCGCCCUUUAGUGCUGAAGUUAACGCAUUA